rnacentral:rRNA from 1 species
AGCAGCCGCGGUAAUUCCAGCUCCAAUAGCGUAUAUUAAAGUUGUUGCAGUUAAAAAGCUCGUAGUUGAACUUCGGGGUCUACCCAUUGGUCAGGCUUAAUUGUCUGCACUGGUGAGAUGGAUCUCUACCUUCUGAGGAACUUUCAUGCCAUUUAUUUGGUGUGAUGGGAAAUCAGGACUGUUACUUUGAAAAAAUUAGAGUGUUUAAAGCAGACUAUCGUCUGAAUACAUUAGCAUGGAAUAAUGAAAUAGGACGGACUGAUUCUAUUUCGUUGGUUUCUAGGAUCACCGUAAUGAUUAAUAGGGAUAGUUGGGGGCAUUAGUAUUCAAUUGUCAGAGGUGAAAUUCUUGGAUUUAUGAAGACUAACUCUGCGAAGCAUUUGCCAAGGANGUUUUCAGUUAAUCAAGAACGAAAGUUAGGGGAUCGAAGACGAUCAGAUACCGUCGUAGCCUUAACCGAAUAAACUAUGUACCGACUAGGGACUCGGGACGGUGUUAAAAUUUUAGUUGAACCUCGUUC